UAGAACCCCUUCCCCUCCCAAGACCUUUCCCCUCGAGGGGGCCCCCCUCACUCCCUUUCCUGUCACCCGGGGCUCCCCCUCCCCUGCUCAGGGCCCACUCUCUGCCAGCUGAGCGUCCCCCUCCUGUCGCCGUGCCCCCUCCUCCAGGGCCAAGGAGCGGGCCCCGCGCACCCGGCCCGCCAGCACCUCGCCGUCCCCGGGCAGGCACGGCGGGCCCGAGGGGAGGAGCUCGUCGCGCAGCCCAGGCCAGCACCCGCGCUCCUGGAGCUCCAGCCGCUCGCCCUCCAAAUCCCGCUCGCGCUCGGCGGAGAAGAGGGCCCGCAGCCCCAGCCGCUCGCCGUCGCCCAAGAAAACCCUGGGUCGGGACAAGGACGGGGAGAGCCGCGCGAGGCACGCCGAGGCCGAGGCCGCCCGCGCCCGGCGCCGCUCCCGCAGCUACUCGCCCAUCCGCAAGCGGCGCCGGGACUCGCCCAGCUUCAUGGAGCCGCGGCGCAUCACCAGUGCCCGGAAGCGUCCCAUCCCCUACUACCGACCCAGCCCCUCGUCCUCCUCCAGCUGCCUGAGCAGCGACUACUCAAGCCGGAGCCCCAGCCACAGCCCCAGCCCCGGCCACAGCCACGGAAGCUACAGCAGCCGCAGUCGGACCCGCAGCCGCACACGAAGUCCCUCCCAGACCCCCACUCCCAGCUACCACAGCCGGAGCAGCUCAGAGAGUGGGGGCUUCUGAGCCCAGGGAACCCAGCUUCAUGCCCCCUGGCACAGGGCAAGGCGAGGGCCCCAGGAGCCAUGGGAGGCAGUGGGGCCUGCACCCCACUGCUACAAAGAGGUCCCGGGACUGGGGAAGACCUUGAGGGUGGUGGGUGCCCUGAAGACAAAGAGGAGCUGGAUUCUGCUGCUUCUGGAGGGUCCCCACCCCACCUCCUGCUCACCCACGCAGUCCAGGGAACAAAGAGCCGUUUCGAACACAGGGAUCAUCACCCUUUCCUGCUUGAUGCCAGCUCACCAGGCUGAGGACCUCAGUCCAGUGGAGCCAGGGACAUCCUCUUAAAAGUGCCAGACCUGGGAGCCUCCCCUGCCACUCCCUAGGGCCCUCAGUUCCUCUCCACCUCUGGGUGGACACGGAGUGGGACAGCAGGCAGGAGCUAAGUUAGACAGAAGGAGGAACGGCCUAACCCUCGGUGCACCACCCUCCAGGCUGGGGAACCCCCUCCUUCUGAGCUGGCUGCAGAAGGACCCUGGCUGCAGGCUAGAGGCUGGCCCCACGGCCUCCACAAACCCCUUCCCUGGCUCAAGAGUGCACAGACUCCGUGGGGCCCCUGAGCCUUAGCUCACCCUUGGUCCCACCUCUUCAGGCCAGGCUCUCCCCUCCAGCCGUUGCCCUGUGCUCUUCUGGGCCAGGGCUUCCCCAGGCCCAGACAGGUCAGGCUGUCUGCGUGACCCGAGAUGGGGCCUACAGACCCCAGCCGCCCCUGACUCUGAGAUGAAAGGGGUCAGGUCAGGAGGUGGAAGAGAGAAGGGGGGGAUGGAGGAGGAGCCUGCAGGGGGGAAAGCAGCGCAGUGGGAGGACUGAGCAGGCUCCGGAGUCCCGGCGUGCCCAGUGGCUGGGACCUGGGCCAGAUGGCACGGGCAUAGGAUAAUGUGCACUCCAGGGCAUGCCCAUGCGAGCAGGGAGCCAGGGGGAGCACUCGUUCCUCCUCUCCCAGAGUGGGGUGCUACAGCCCUUCGAAGAAAGGGUAGACUCUAGACUGAGGGCGGUGGCCUGGGGCACGGACGGACGGACAGACGGACGGGGAAGCAGUGAGCCCCCAGCCCUCUCCUGCUGCUCCCAGCCCCCUCCUCCUGGGGCCCUCAGGGAUCUCACAAAGUCUUCCUUGGCCCAACAGGGCAGAUGCCCUGGGCUCCAGUGGGGGGAGGGGUCUGGGGUCUGAUCCGGGUUUCCUCCCCCCACCCCCACCCCCAAUUUCCCCUUCCUUCUCCGCAGUGCGGAUUGAAAUCGGACUCUAAAUAAUAAACACUUGGAGCCCGGACGGCA
rnacentral:lncRNA from 1 species